GCACGGAUGAUGAGACCCAACCAGGUCGAAACAGCUGUCCAGUGC
rnacentral:hammerhead_ribozyme from 1 species